rnacentral:rRNA from 1 species
GACGAACGCUGGCGGCGUGCUUAACACAUGCAAGUCGAACGGAAAGGCCCUGCUUUUGUGGGGUGCUCGAGUGGCGAACGGGUGAGUAGCACGUGAGUAACCUGCCCUUGACUUUGGGAUAACUUCAGGAAACUGGGGCUAAUACCGGAUAGGAGCUCCUGCUGCAUGAUGGGGGUUGGAAAGUUUCGGCGGUUGGGGAUGGACUCGCGGCUUAUCAGCUUGUUGGUGGGGUAGUGGCUUACCAAGGCUUUGACGGGUAGCCGGCCUGAGAGGGUGACCGGCCACAUUGGGACUGAGAUACGGCCCAGACUCCUACGGGAGGCAGCAGUGGGGAAUAUUGCACAAUGGGCGGAAGCCUGAUGCAGCAACGCCGCGUGCGGGAUGACGGCCUUCGGGUUGUAAACCGCUUUCGCCUGUGACGAAGCGUGAGUGACGGUAAUGGGUAAAGAAGCACCGGCUAACUACGUG